rnacentral:rRNA from 1 species
UACGGGGGGAGCAAGCGUUGUUCGGAUUUACUGGGCGUAAAGGGCGUGUAGGCGGCCACCGCAAGUCGGUUGUGAAAUCUCCGGGCUUAACCCGGAAAGGUCAACCGAUACUGCGGGGCUAGAGUGCAGAAGGGGCAACUGGAAUUCUCGGUGUAGCGGUGAAAUGCGUAGAUAUCAGGAGGAACACCGAUUGCGAAGGCAGCUCGCUGGGACGUUACUGACGCUGAGACGCGAAAGCGUGGGGAGCAAACAGG